GACGAACGCUGGCGGCGUGCUUAACACAUGCAAGUCGAACGGAAAGGCCCUGCUUUUGUGGGGUGCUCGAGUGGCGAACGGGUGAGUAACACGUGAGUAACCUGCCCUUGACUCUGGGAUAACUUCAGGAAACUGGGGCUAAUACCGGAUAGGAGCUCCUGCUGCAUGGUGGGGGGUGGAAAGUUUCGGCGGUCGGGGAUGGGCUCGCGGCUUAUCAGCUUGUUGGUGGGGUAGUGGCUUACCAAGGCUUUGACGGGUAGCCGGCCUGAGAGGGUGACCGGCCACAUUGGGACUGAGAUACGGCCCAGACUCCUACGGGAGGCAGCAGUGGGGAAUAUUGCACAAUGGGCGGAAGCCUGAUGCAGCGACGCCGCGUGCGGGAUGACGGCCUUCGGGUUGUAAACCUCUUUCGCCAGUGACGAAGCGUGAGUGACGGUAAUUGGUAAAGAAGCACCGGCUAACUACGUG
rnacentral:rRNA from 1 species